rnacentral:rRNA from 1 species
UGGGGAAUAUUGCACAAUGGGCGAAAGCCUGAUGCAGCGACGCCGCGUGAGAGAUGACGGCCUUCGGGUUGUAAACCUCUUUCAGUAGGGAAGAAGCGAAAGUGACGGUACCUGCAGAAGAAGCGCCGGCUAACUACGUGCCAGCAGCCGCGGUAAUACGUAGGGCGCAAGCGUUAUCCGGAAUUAUUGGGCGUAAAGAGCUCGUAGGCGGUUUGUCGCGUCUGCCGUGAAAGUCCGGGGCUCAACUCCGGAUCUGCGGUGGGUACGGGCAGACUAGAGUGAUGUAGGGGAGACUGGAAUUCCUGGUGUAGCGGUGAAAUGCGCAGAUAUCAGGAGGAACACCGAUGGCGAAGGCAGGUCUCUGGGCAUUAACUGACGCUGAGGAGCGAAAGCAUGGGGAGCGAACAG